AGGUUGGCUCAGAAGCAGCCAUCCUUUAAAGAGUGCGUAACAGCUCACUAGUCGAAUGACUCUGCGCCGAUAAUUUACCGGGGCUAAGCAUACUACCGAAGCUAUGGAUCCCAAGGGAUGGUAGGGGAGCGUUCCAUGAACGGAGAAGUACGACCGAAAGGACGUGUGGAGAUCAUGGAAGAGAGAAUGCCGGUGUGAGUAGCGGAACGUGGGUGAGAAUCCCACGCACCGAAAACCCAAGGUUUCCAGAGGAAGGUUCGUCCGCUCUGGGUAAGUCGGGACCUAAGGCGAGGCCGAAAGGCGUAGUCGAUGGACAACAGGUAGAGAUUCCUGUACCCGUAUAUAUGUGAAGGAAUGACGGAGAGAGGAAGCUGCAGCCAGCGGCUGGAAGAGCUGGUGCAAGCGAGAUAUCGGGAUGGCAGGCAAAUCCACCAUCCGAAACGAGAAGGCGUGAAGCGUACGGAAAGCUACGGCGAGUACGGAAGGCAGUGGAGGAACUUCCAAGAAAAGUUUCUAACGUUAAGUAUAUAUGGCCCGUACCGAAAAUGGACACACAUGGGUGAGGAGAGAAUCCUAAGGUGAGCGAGAGAACUAUAGCUAAGGAACUCUGCAAAAUGACUCCGUAACUUAGGGAGAAGGAGUGCUCAUAGAGAUAUGAGCCGCAGUGAAACGGCCCAAGCGACUGUUUACCAAAAACACAGCUCUCUGCUAAGCCGCAAGGCGAAGUAUAGGGGGUGACGCCUGCCCGGUGCUGGAAGGUUAAGGGGAGGGGUUAACGCAAGUGAAGCCCUGAACUGAAGCCCCAGUAAACGGCGGCCGUAACUAUAACGGUCCUAAGGUAGCGAAAUUCCUUGUCAGGUAAGUUCUGACCCGCACGAAAGGCGUAACGAUUUGGGCGCUGUCUCAGCUGUAGACUCGGUGAAGUCUUAGUACCUGUGAAGAUGCAGGUUACCCGCGACUAGACGGAAAGACCCCAUGGAGCUUCACUGCAGGUUGAUAUUGGGAUUUGAUGCAGCAUGUACAGGAUAGGUAGGAGGCAAAGAGAUGGAUACGCCAGUAUUCAAGGAGCCGCUGUUGGGAUACUACCCCUGUUGUAUUGGAUUUCUAACCGGACGACGUAGAGCCGUUGACGGGACAGUGUCAGUCGGGCAGUUUGACUGGGGCGGUCGCCUCCCAAAGAGUAACGGAGGCGCCCAAAGAUACCCUCAGCUUGGAUGGAAACCAAGCGCAGAGUGCAAAGGCAAAAGGGUGUUUGACUGCGAGACCCACAAGUCGAGCAGGGACGAAAGUCGGGCUUAGUGAUCCGGCGGUGCUGAAUGGAAAGGCCGUCGCUCAACGGAUAAAAGCUACCCUGGGGAUAACAGGCUGAUCUCCCCCA
rnacentral:rRNA from 1 species